UUAACUGUAAAUUUCACACACAACCCUCUGCUUUCUUGUUUGCAGCAUUUCCCAGCACCACAGAGCUCUCUCUCUCUCUCCCGCUCGCUCGCUCUCUCUGUAUAUAAAAGCACAGUAAAAUUCUUGCCUACUUCUCAUUGCUACUCUCAAACAAAACCCCAUGCUAUUUUUGUCCAAGUACGCUUCGAUUUCUUGUGCAUUUAAAUUUCGACAGACGUUCAAAAGAUAGAGAAGAAUCAUGCGUAUGUACAAUCAAUUAUUCUUUAAUUUUCUAAUUGUUAUAGGUUCUUUUUAUUUUUUUAUUUUUUUUUUUUUUGGGAUAGAAACAUCUUUCUACAUUAUCAAAGAACACUAGGCAUAUGGGUGUGUAAUAUGUAUGUUAACCUUUGUGGCUUUUAGUUUAAAGCUAUGGAUUAAGGUUUUUUAAUUUUUAUAUAGAUUUUUCGAAAAUAGUUUUUGAGAAAAGUGAAAUUUUUGGAGAAUUGUGGUUAAAAAAAAUAAGGGAAAAAUUAUGAAUUUGUGUACAAAAUUACUUUAUUGAAAGAACUUAUAAAUGAAAAUUAGUUUAAAAAAAUGAAUUUUCAAAAAUAUGUACCAAACAUGUACUAAAGUUUGCCAAACACACAAAUCUUUGAUUUCCUUAAACUGCAACCUAAGCUACUAAAAUCUAGAUUUUAGUUUAAAUCAAAUUCAAUAAUUAAUUUUAAUUUCAUAUUUUAUAGGAUUUAGAGCAUUUUCAAGAGAUAUUUUGAAUAUGAGAUGCUCCUUAUUUUAAAAAAUCAAUUCUUAAAAUCAUAUUUUAAGAGAUUCUUUAAAUGCAUUAUUUUCAAUGUUGAAAAAUAAUAAAAUAAUUUAGAGAAAAGUUAGUUAAAAUAAAAAAUGGAGAAAAAUAAUAAAUAUUUUUUUAGAGUAGUAGAAUUAAGUGUUAAAUAUAAAUAGUUCAGAAUUUCAACUUUUCAAAUUUAUAGAUGCCCUCCUAAUGAUAAAAUAUGCUCUUUAAAAAUAGAGAAUCUUUUGAAAAUAUUUUUAUAACUUUUCAAUUACAUGUUUUAUCAACUUUUAUUAAAAUUUGUAAAAACUUUGAUUUCGAUUCCCACCAAAUAACGGCUGAAUUAAAAAAAAAAAAAAAAAAAAAAAAAAAAAAAAAAAAGGAAUCUAGAAACUAAAUACAACAAAUUAAUCACAUACUUUUCAUCAAAUCACUAUUUCAAAAUAUAUUUUUAACGAAAAAUUCUAAAUUUUUGCCUAAUUACAAAGAGACAACCAGCUAAAACAACGAGUUAUAUCUACAUUUCGUACUAAUAUAUUUUGGUUGCAAUAUCUCAUAUGUUGCCUAAUUUACUUUAUUUUAAUUUAUUUUUCAUAUUUAUUUUUAAUCACAUAUCAUAUAAUAAAAUAUUCCACAUAUAUCAAAACUUUUCCCAAUUUUUUAACGACAAUUCUCCAAAAAAUACUAUUAAAAAAUAAUUUUUUUUCCAAAUUAAAGGCCACCAAAAGGGGCACAAAAAAAUGCUAGAGCAACUCCAACCACAACACCAAAUCACCAUUUUUAUUUUUAUUUUUAUUUUAUCAUUUUGCACCAAAUAUUUGGUGCAAUGUCAAUCCAAUCCAACACCAAAUUUUGCAAAAUGGUACAAGUAAAUUUGCACAAAUUUGAUAAAAGUCCUUUUUGCCCCCUUUUUUCAUUUAUCACCAAAUGAUAUCAAGGGUAUUUGUAUCAUUUUGCAUUAUACAUAAAUUUUAAAUUUUAAUUAUUCUUAUUAUUAUUAUUUGUAAUAAACUUUAACAGUAUAAUCAAUAGUAAUUGAGGAAAAAAUUAAAAUAAAAGUACUCAAAAAGUUUUAAACUACAACAAACAUGAUUAUUUAAAAUUAAAACAAAACUACAACAACAACCACAUACAUAUGUUGCUCAACGAUACAUAAAUGAAACAUUUGUGAGAUGAAUAUAUGAAUUUCGAUAAUUAAAUUAGGACACUAGAUCGACUUUGUUGUAUCAUAAUUUUGGGAGUCGAAAUGUACUAAGUUAUUUUUAAUAACAUGAUUUAAUAUUUUCUUAAUUGUGAUAUUUUUAUUAAUUGUAUUACAUUUUUAAAAUUUAUUAAAUAAUUUAAUAUUUUUGUAAACAAAACGUAAUUAUACAUGUAGUAAUUUUUGUAGUAAUAAAUUAAUAAUUUUUCAACUAUUUAAAUUGUUAAGAAUUAAAAAAAUGAAGAAAAUGAUUAAAUAUUGUUUAUUUGGUGCAAUUUUGGGUGUAAUGAAUUGGAGAUAUUUUUAGUUUGAUGUAAAAUUUGGUACAAUAUUGUGUAAAUUUUAAUAUAGGGUUGGAGAUAUUUUUUCUAUCACAAAGUGUGGGGACCUUUUAGUGCAUUAAUGGAUACUUAAUCAGUCGACACGUAGAUAAUAUUUCAUCGGACGGUUGAGCAAACACUGCACUGGUGGGCCAUGUAGAUAUUUUCCAGAUAUUUCUGCCUAAUCCUUUUAUACAAGGCUAAUCUUGUCAAUUAACAUUCUAUUUAACGCCGUUAAGUUCGUUUGGAAAGCCAAGUGAAGAAUCCCUGACGUCCGAAAACGGCGUCCCCUGCACCUUAAAAGUCGAGAUAUUUUUUCCCCUAAACUGCCACGUGUCUGUCUACUCAAGGCUCUCAAAUCGAUUGCGCUCUCGCAUUUAGAUUUUGUCCACGUCAUCUUCAUAAACCAUCCGAACGUCCCACGUAAAAUAUUUGAUCUUACGUUUCGCCUUCGGGACCUGUAAUUUGUCCACGUAAUCAUCCACGUCAGCAAUAAAUUAUACGGCCCAGUAAUCUUAUCUUUAUGUUAAUCUUAAUCUAAAUCUAAACCCUAAUUUCACUCCAACCAAUCUUGAUUUGACUUGUGGCUUCAGCUGAAAUUUAAUUUUGCUGUACAUAUUCUAGCUCUGUUUUAUCUUUAAUAUUGUUCAAUUUUUUUGUUUUUUUUUGUUUUUAUGUCAAAUUGAAAUCGACACUCAAACUGAGGUUCGGAGGUAGUUUUGCUACAUAUUGAGCCUCCUCUUUUUGUUUAUAAAUAUUUGCGAAGAAUUCCUUUUUGAUUGUUUUGAAACUUUUUCAUUUUCUGAAUAUGUUAAAUUGAUGGCAAUUUUUCUCUCUCGUGGGUGGUUCAUUAAACAGUCAAUUUUCAAAUUGGAUAAGAUUCCUUUUUGAAUACUCUAUUUCUUUUAAAUAUUAGGUUUUAUGAUUUGGAAAAAGGUAUUUUCUUGUUGGUAAAGAUUAGGGUUCGAGAUUAGUGUACUGGCUGAUACUCUGUUCGUUGUGUACAGGGUACUAGCAAAUAGCCAUCGAUAGGACAUUCGGGAAUCUGGGAUGACAACGGUUUCAUUUCAAAUUUUUGUCAUUAAUCUUUACCUCUGCUUUUGUUGUUACUGAAUUGAUUAUUUGACAUUUUGAAUAGUGGAUUAGGGUCUUGAGAAUGAAGUGAAUUCUUGAAGAAACAAGCUACUGCUAUUAUCUACGUCCUGUUUAUUUUGGUUCAAGAGUACGUCUGAGGCUUGCUAAGGAGAUGGAUGUUGCUAAACAUUGGUAGUUAGUUCUUUGGAAUUUGGUUGGCAGUAAGUGUGU
rnacentral:lncRNA from 1 species